UACAGAGGGUGCGAGCGUUAAUCGGAAUUACUGGGCGUAAAGCGUGCGUAGACGGUUAUUUAAGUCGGGUGUGAAAGCCCCGGGCUCAACCUGGGAACUGCAUUCGAGACUGCAUUGCUAGAGUAUGGGAGAGGGAAGUGGAAUUUCCGGUGUAGCGGUGAAAUGCGUAGAUAUCGGAAGGAACAUCAGUGGCGAAAGCGACUUCCUGGACCAAUACUGACGCUCAUGUGCGAAAGCGUGGGGAGCAAACAGG
rnacentral:rRNA from 1 species